UGUUUGUUGUGAUGAAAUCAUACGGACGGUAUCCGAGGGAGUUGGCUUUUGAAAGCCCUUUCGUUGAUUAUAUAUCCAAAACUGAUCAAAUAUUCUUGAGCUAUAA